AUGAAAUUUAUUGGUUUCACUAACCAAUUUUUAUUUUCACAAAUGAAAAUUGAUUGAAAUGUUUCAUAAUGGCCAGCCAUGCUUCAGAACAAAUAAUUCAGGGAUGAUGAACCAAAGCAAGCCAUCUUUUAUUUUCAUUUUUUGUUUCAUUUCUUUAAUUGACAGCUACUGAAAUUAUUGAUAUGAUUGUAUUGAUAUGAUUGUAUUAAUAGUCUCUUAAGACAAAUAUUCUGCUAGUCCCUAUAAGAUGUCUCAAACUAAUUUUAUUUGAGUUUAUUAAUUUUGUUUUGUUUGCAAUAUAUUUUUUAUGUUUUCUCAUACCAUAGAUGUAUUCUGAUUUUCAGUCUUGUCUUAUAUAUCUGUACAUUGCUUCUAAACUUAUAAAUGGGAAUGUAAGAUGCUUUUUAUUAAUAAAAACUUUUUGUCAAC
rnacentral:sRNA from 1 species